rnacentral:rRNA from 1 species
CGGUCAACGAGUGUGCCCGCCAAAGGUUUUUAAAUUUACAAAGUGUGAUGAAUGUCUUUUUACAAAAACAAAAAGAAAACUUUCAACAACGGAUCUCUUGGCUCUCGCAUCGAUGAAGAACGCAGCAAAAUGCGAUAAGUAAUGUGAAUUGCAGAUUCAGUGAAUCAUCGAAUUUUUGAACGCAGAUGGCGCCCCUUGGUAUUCCGAGGGGCAUGCCUGUUUGAGUGUCAUUUCAUUUCACUUCCGAGUGGAUUUGGGCGUGCAUGUGCUUGCCCUAAAAGAAUGUUGUGUAUUAAAUCUGACGCAGCUUUUCUGUCUUGCGACACUAUUUUUUGAUCGACCUCAAAUCAGGUAGGAGUACCCGCCGAACUUAAGCAUAUCAAUAAGCGGAGGAAAGGAAACUAACCAGGAUUCCCCUAGUAACGGCGAGUGAAGCGGGAAGAGCUCAAAUUUGAAAUCGGGCGCUUGGCGAUUCCGAGUUGUAACCUAGAGAAGCGUUUUCCGCGC